UCUCGAUAGCGUGAAAGUUAACUCAAGUUUGUAUUGAGUUGGAACGUUCGCCUACGUUUGCCGAUAGGGGAGCUGUUCCAACUGCAUACAAAUUUGAGUUAACUUUGUAAGUUCUCUA
rnacentral:pre_miRNA from 9 species